rnacentral:rRNA from 1 species
GUCAAGGGGUUCAGCAAUGGACACCGGCGGACGGGUGCGUAACGCGUACACAACGUGCCCAAGGGCGGAGGAAAGCGGCGGGAAACUGCCGGUAAUACUCCAUGGAGUUGCAGGGUGGCAUCACUACAGCAACUAAAGUACAAGCGCCCUUGGAUCGGUGUGCGUUCGAUUAGCUAGUUGGCGGGGUAACGGCCCACCAAGCCUGCGAUCAGUAGCUGAUGUGAGAGCAUGAUCAGCCACACGGGCACUGAGACACGGGCCCGACUCCUACGGGAGGCAGCAGUAAGGAAUAUUGGUCAAUGGACGCAAGUCUGAACCAGCCAUGCCGCGUGGAGGAUGACGGUCCUCUGGAUUGUAAACUUCUUUUCUCUGGGACGAAACCCCCGAUUUCCAUCGGGCCUGACGGUACCAGAGGAAUAAGCACCGGCUAACUCCGUGCCAGCAGCCGCGGUAAUACGGAGGGUGCAAGCGUUAUCCGGAUUCACUGGGUUUAAAGGGUGCGUAGGUGGGCAGGUAAGUCAGUGGUGAAAUCUCCGGGCUUAACCCGGAAACUGCCAUUGAUACUAUCUGUCUUGAAUUCUCUGGAGGUAAGCGGAAUAUGUCAUGUAGCGGUGAAAUGCUUAGAUAUGACAUAGAACACCCAUUGCGAAGGCAGCUUACUACGGAGUUAUUGACACUGAGGCACGAAAGCGUGGGGAUCAAACAGGAUUAGAUACCCUGGUAGUCCACGCCCUAAACGAUGAUUACUCGACAUUAGCGAUAUUACAGUUAGUGUCUAAGCGAAAGCAUUAAGUAAUCCACCUGGGAAGUACGACCGCAAGGUUGAAACUCAAAGGAAUUGGCGGGGGUCCGCACAAGUGGUGGAGCAUGUGGUUUAAUUCGAUGAUACGCGAGGAACCUUACCUGGGCUAGAAUGCAUUUUGACCGCAGGUGAA